rnacentral:rRNA from 1 species
AUUGAACGCUGGCGGCAGGCUUAACACAUGCAAGUCGAGCGGGGUGAUGGUGCUUGCACUAUCACUUAGCGGCGGACGGGUGAGUAAUGCUUAGGAAUCUGCCUAUUAGUGGGGGACAACAUCUCGAAAGGGAUGCUAAUACCGCAUACGUCCUACGGGAGAAAGCAGGGGAUCACUUGUGACCUUGCGCUAAUAGAUGAGCCUAAGUCGGAUUAGCUAGUUGGUGGGGUAAAGGCCUACCAAGGCGACGAUCUGUAGCGGGUCUGAGAGGAUGAUCCGCGACACUGGGACUGAGACACGGCCCAGACUCCUACGGGAGGCAGCAGUGGGGAAUAUUGGACAAUGGGGGGGACCCUGAUCCAGCCAUGCAGCGUGUGUGAAGAAGGCCUUAUGGUUGUAAAGCACUUUAAGCGAGGAGGAGGCUCUUUUGGUUAAUACCCAAGAUGAGUGGACGUUACUCGCAGAAUAAGCACCGGCUAACUCUGUGCCAGCAGCCGCCGCCG